AUUGAACGCUGGCGGCAUGCCUUACACAUGCAAGUCGAACGGUAACGGGCCUUCAGGCGCCGACGAGUGGCGAACGGGUGAGUAAUGUAUCGGAACGUACCUUUCAGUGGGGGAUAACGUAGCGAAAGUUACGCUAAUACCGCAUAUUCUGUGUGCAGGAAAGCAGGGGACCGCAAGACCUUGCGCUGAUUGAGCGGCCGAUAUCAGAUUAGCUAGUUGGUGAGGUAAAGGCUCACCAAGGCGACGAUCUGUAGCGGGUCUGAGAGGAUGAUCCGCCACACUGGAACUGAGACACGGUCCAGACUCCUACGGGAGGCAGCAGUGGGGAAUUUUGGACAAUGGGGGCAACCCUGAUCCAGCCAUGCCGCGUGAGUGAAGAAGGCCUUCGGGUUGUAAAGCUCUUUCGGCCGGGAAGAAAUCGUAUCAGCUAAUACCUGGUGCGGAUGACGGUACCGGCAUAAGAAGCACCGGCUAACUACGUGCCAGCAGCCGCGGUAAGAC
rnacentral:rRNA from 1 species